UGUUUCUUCCUUUUGCCCAGCCUGGAGUGGCCUACUGAUAGAGCCACUGGCUCCUCCCUAGAACUUAGAUGUGCUGCUGAAGGAAUAACGUGCAGGUAGCAGUGGCAUAGAUGAGAGUGGUAGUAAUACCUCGACAGGAGUCUUUGUGUCAUCAGGAGGAGCUGUGUUGUUAGGCUGCAGUUUAUUGUACCUCUUAAUGUCCGUAUUCUAUCAUUUCUUUGCGGCUCUUGUCUUGCUGUGCAUGGGGCUCCCCUGGGAGAGCUGUGGACCAGCAGCCAGGUGAAGGUGAAGCUUGGGAUGUGAACGUGGGGGCCUGCUGUGAGUCCUUUCCUUGUCUUGUGACGGUGGCACCAUGCAUGAGCCAGGACAUGGCUGACUGUGGGCAUCCUGCAUGCUGCUUGUGCCUGGCUUUGUGAGUUGUAAGUGUAUCUACCCGAAGUCCUCUCUCCUUGUUCAGGAGGCCGAGCUGGUGCAGGUGUAGAUAGAGCUUGCUGUGGUCAGACAUUGCAGUCUCUUCCUGUCCCCUGAAGUGAGGGAGGAAGCACCAUCUUCUGUCUUUUGAAUCUUCAAAGCCUCUGCUGUGGUUCCAAAGCUUUUUAUAGCAGUGGUUUGGCUUUUUGUUUUGCUUUUGGUCAUUGCUUAGAAGAGGGAAAAAGUUUGGUGAAGACCAGAGGAAAAUGAGAGGGAAUGGUACUCCUUCUGGUGCCUGCCUUUAAGUGUAGUUGGGCACUGACUCAGCCCUGCCAGGACAGUAAUUCCGUGUUACAGAAAAAGGGUGAGAGGGGACGCAUGUUGGAGGGGGUGCCUGCAAGCAGGAGGCUGAAGGAGCUAGAAGAGCAUAGCAUCUUAGCCUGGCUCCCCAGGGAAACGAUAGGAGGGUGUCUUAAGCCUACAUCUGUGGAUGGGCAGAACUCCUGUGACUGGGGUAUGGUACAUAGCAGUGGCCUGGGUUUUCUCCUGUUGUUUCUAUUGAGGCUGAUGCUAAAUACUUGCCUGCAUAGUUUUGCAGUUCUCUUUUUGUUGCCAAAUGUAGGUCCUGGUGUUUGAGCUGUUAGUGUUGAUGUUUGAAU
ensembl:lncRNA